CCUACGGGAGGCAGCAGUGGGGAAUAUUGCACAAUGGGGGAAACCCUGAUGCAGCGACGCCGCGUGAGUGAAGAAGUAUUUCGGUACGUAAAGCUCUAUCAGCAGGGAAGAAAAUGACGGUACCUGACUAAGAAGCCCCGGCUAACUACGUGCCAGCAGCCGCGGUAAUACGUAGGGGGCAAGCGUUAUCCGGAUUUGCUGGGUGUAAAGGGAGCGUAGACGGCAGCGCAAGUCUGGAGUGAAAUCCCAUGGCUUAACCAUGGAACUGCUUUGGAAACUGUGCAGCUAGAGUGCAGGAGAGGUAAGCGGAAUUCCUAGUGUAGCGGUGAAAUGCGUAGAUAUUAGGAGGAACACCAGUGGCGAAGGCGGCUUACUGGACUGUAACUGACGUUGAGGCUCGAAAGCGUGGGGAGCAAACAGGAUUAGAUACCCGGGUAGUC
rnacentral:rRNA from 1 species